CCAGGCUAAUACCGCAUACGUCCUACGGGAGAAAGGGGGCUCCGGCUCCCGCUAUGGGAUGAGCCUAUGUCGGAUUAGCUGGUUGGUGAGGUAACGGCUCACCAAGGCCACGAUCCGUAGCUGGUCUGAGAGGAUGAUCAGCCACAUCGGGACUGAGACACGGCCCGAACUCCUACGGGAGGCAGCAGUGGGGAAUAUUGGACAAUGGGGGAAACCCUGAUCCAGCCAUGCCGCGUGUGUGAAGAAGGCCCUCGGGUUGUAAAGCACUUUCAGCGAGGAAGAACGCCUAACGGUUAAUACCCGCUAGGAAAGACAUCACUCGCAGAAGAAGCACCGGCUAACUCCGUGCCAGCAGCCGCGGUAAUACGGAGGGUGCAAGCGUUAAUCGGAAUUACUGGGCGUAAAGCGCGCGUAGGUGGAUUGAUAAGCCGGUUGUGAAAGCCCCGGGCUCAACCUGGGAACGGCAUCCGGAACUGUCAAGCUAGAGUGCAGGAGAGGAAGGUAGAAUUCCCGGUGUAGCGGUGAAAUGCGUAGAGAUCGGGAGGAAUACCAGUGGCGAAGGCGGCCUUCUGGACUGACACUGACACUGAGGUGCGAAAGCGUGGGUAGCAAACAGGAUUAGAUACCCUGGUAGUCCACGCCGUAAACGAUGUCGACCAGCCGUUGGGUGCCUAGCGCACUUUGUGGCGAAGUUAACGCGAUAAGUCGACCGCCUGGGGAGUACGGCCGCAAGGUUAAAACUCAAAUGAAUUGACGGGGGCCCGCACAAGCGGUGGAGCAUGUGGUUUAAUUCGAUGCAACGCGAAGAACCUUACCUACUCUUGACAUCCUGCGAAUUUGGUAGAGAUACCUUAGUGCCUUCGGGAACGCAGAGACAGGUGCUGCAUGGCUGUCGUCAGCUCGUGUUGUGAAAUGUUGGGUUAAGUCCCGUAACGAGCGCAACCCUUGUCCUUAUUUGCCAGCGCGUAAUGGCGGGAACUCUAAGGAGACUGCCGGUGACAAACCGGAGGAAGGUGGGGACGACGUCAAGUCAUCAUGGCCCUUACGAGUAGGGCUACACACGUGCUACAAUGGUCGGUACAAAGGGUUGCCAACUCGCGAGAGUGAGCUAAUCCCGAAAAGCCGAUCUCAGUCCGGAUCGGAGUCUGCAACUCGACUCCGUGAAGUCGGAAUCGCUAGUAAUCGUGGAUCAGAAUGCCACGGUGAAUACGUUCCCGGGCCUUGUACACACCGCCCGUCAC
rnacentral:rRNA from 1 species